GAUGAACGCUGGCGGCGUGCUUAACACAUGCAAGUCGAACGGAAAGGCUCCUGCUUGCAGGGGUACUCGAGUGGCGAACGGGUGAGUAACACGUGGGUGAUCUGCCCUGCACUUCGGGAUAAGCCUGGGAAACUGGGUCUAAUACCGGAUAGGACGAUGGUUUGGAUGCCAUUGUGGAAAGUUUUUCGGUGUGGGAUGAGCUCGCGGCCUAUCAGCCUGUUGGUGGGGUAAUGGCCUACCAAGGCGUCGACGGGUAGCCGGCCUGAGAGGGUGUACGGCCACAUUGGGACUGAGAUACGGCCCAGACUCCUACGGGAGGCAGCAGUGGGGAAUAUUGCACAAUGGGCGCAAGCCUGAUGCAGCGACGCCGCGUGGGGGAUGACGGCCUUCGGGUUGUAAACUCCUUUCGCUAGGGACGAAGCGCAAGUGACGGUACCUGGAGAAGAGGCACCGGCUAACUACGUG
rnacentral:rRNA from 1 species